rnacentral:rRNA from 1 species
AUUGAACGCUGGCGGCAGGCCUAACACAUGCAAGUCGAACGGUAACAGGGAUCAGCUUGCUGAUUCGCUGACGAGUGGCGGACGGGUGAGUAAUGUCUGGGAAACUGCCUGAUGGAGGGGGAUAACUACUGGAAACGGUAGCUAAUACCGCAUAACGUCGCAAGACCAAAGAGGGGGACCUUCGGGCCUCUUGCCAUCGGAUGUGCCCAGAUGGGAUUAGCUAGUAGGUGGGGUAACGGCUCACCUAGGCGACGAUCCCUAGCUGGUCUGAGAGGAUGACCAGCCACACUGGAACUGAGACACGGUCCAGACUCCUACGGGAGGCAGCAGUGGGGAAUAUUGCACAAUGGGCGCAAGCCUGAUGCAGCCAUGCCGCGUGUAUGAAGAAGGCCUUCGGGUUGUAAAGUACUUUCAGCGGGGAGGAAGGGAGUAAAGUUAAUACCUUUGCUCACUGACGUUACCCGCAGAAGAAGCACCGGCUAACUCCGUG